rnacentral:tRNA from 1 species
GGAUUGUGGCUCAGCGGUAGAGCACUCGCCUAGCAUGGGCAGGACCGAGUUCGAUUCUCAGCACCA